rnacentral:rRNA from 1 species
UAGGGAAUCUUCGGCAAUGGGGGGAACCCUGACCGAGCAACGCCGCGUGAGUGAAGAAGGUUUUCGGAUCGUAAAGCUCUGUUGUUAAGGAAGAACGAGUGUGAGAAUGGAAAGUUCAUGCUGUGACGGUACUUAACCAGAAAGGGACGGCUAACUACGUGCCAGCAGCCGCGGUAAUACGUAGGUCCCGAGCGUUGUCCGGAUUUAUUGGGCGUAAAGGGCGUGUAGGCGGCUAGAUAAGUGUGAUGUUUAAAUCCAAGGCUUAACCUUGGGGUUCAUUACAAACUGUUUAGCUUGAGUGCUGGAGAGGAUAGUGGAAUUCCUAGUGUAGCGGUAAAAUGCGUAGAUAUUAGGAGGAACACCGGUGGCGAAGGCGGCUAUCUGGACAGUAACUGACGCUGAGGCGCGAAAGCGUGGGGAGCAAACAGG